GGGGCCCCUGUCACUGCACUGCAAUGCCCUGGAUUGAUGCUUUGCCACAGCUGCAGCUCUGGGGAUUUUUCCAUCCUGAAAGAACAUCAGUUUCUGCUAUUAGUUUUCACAGCUUUUUGUCCCAUGACCUAAAGAGAAUAACUGAAGAUCAAAAUUAUUUCCUAUGUUCUUCAAAGAAAUAUGGGAUAUCCGUUUGUUCCUGGAACAUUCAAAAUCCUUCCCACAAUGUUUCAGGCAGUAACACACUGCAAUAGAGCCUUUCAUCUGUUUCUUCA